AUGAAAUCUCGCUUACUCCUUUCAUUUUCUUAGUCUCCUUCUUUCUCCCAUGUCUCGCGCUCUCUCUAAACUCUCCCCCAAAUCUUUAUUCUCCAAAUCGUUCUAACUCACUAUAACUAAGAUUACUGCUAGCCUAUCGCCUAGAGCCAAGCUUCGACCGCGACUGCUUGUCACUUUUGGGCGCCUUCUUCCAUCACUCGAGAAAGUCAGCACCGUCAAAGAUCUCUUGAUUCCUCGCGGCCGGGUCGGCUUGGAAGCAAGCUACAUGUCGCCUAUCUCAACCCGUUUCUUAUUAUUAGUAAGAUAGGUUGCCCCUUGCUCUUUGCUCCAGUACCAUACCAUGCGAAAUGUCCUCUAUAUGACCUUGACUGACUUCAAAAAGGUUGGGCACUCUAUUGGUUCUUACAUAUUUGUUGGAAUAUCACUUUCUUCCCACAAGUGUGUUAGUUUUGCAUCAAAGAUUGCAGGGGUUUAGGAUCUUGGCAUGUUAGGUCGUGGCCGUGGAGAAGAGAUUGGAACAAAUGUUGAAGAACUCAUGACAAGUGAACUUUUUGGGAAUGUGAAAGAUAUAUGUCUUGUAGGAAUAUUAUCAUGUGAUAGAUAUAUAUGUUUUGUAGAUAUAUUUCUUGUUUAAACUUAAAUUUUAUCUGUAUUAUUGAGUACUUAGAAAUAUUACUUAAAUGUAAUAUAUCUUUUAUAUACAAUGAUAUGAUUAAUGCUUUUAAAUGAUUGA